rnacentral:rRNA from 1 species
ACGGGAGGCAGCAGUGGGGAAUAUUGCACAAUGGGCGCAAGCCUGAUGCAGCAACGCCGCGUGAAGGAAGAAGGCCUUUGGGUCGUAAACUUCUGUCCUUAGGGAAGAUAAUGACGGUACCUUUGGAGGAAGCCCCGGCUAACUACGUGCCAGCAGCCGCGGUAAUACGUAGGGGGCAAGCGUUAUCCGGAAUUAUUGGGCGUAAAGAGUGCGUAGGCGGUUUUCUAAGCGUGGGGUGAAAGGCAAUGGCUUAACCAUUGUUAGCCCCGCGAACUGGAUGACUUGAGUGCAGGAGAGGAAAGCGGAAUUCCUAGUGUAGCGGUGAAAUGCGUAGAUAUUAGGAGGAACACCAGUGGCGAAGGCGGCUUUCUGGACUGUAACUGACGCUGAGGCACGAAAGCGUGGGGAGCAAACAGGAUUAGAUACCCUGGUA